rnacentral:rRNA from 1 species
UACGUAGGGACCAAGCGUUGUUCGGAUUUACUGGGCGUAAAGGGCGCGUAGGCGGCAAUUCAAGUCAGUUGUGAAAUCUCCGAGCUUAACUCGGAACGGUCAACUGAUACUGUUUUGCUAGAGUACAGAAGGGGCAAUCGGAAUUCUUGGUGUAGCGGUGAAAUGCGUAGAUAUCAAGAGGAACACCUGAGGUGAAGACGGGUUGCUGGGCUGAUACUGACGCUGAGGCGCGAAAAGCUAGGGUAGCAAACGGG